GGACGGGUGGCGCAAUGGCAGCGCUUAUGUUUCCGGCUCCCCUUUCAUGGGGAUAUCAGUUACAUAGGGUUGCGGGUUCGAGUCCUGUCCCGUCCG
rnacentral:tRNA from 1 species